rnacentral:lncRNA from 1 species
AAAAAAUUGAGCAAAGUGUCUUGUACCUACAAUUGUAAGACUUUGCUAAGACAAAAAACAAAGGACAAUUGAAGACAAUAUAAAGACGAAAUUGGAAGUAGCAAGAUGAACUCAGGUAGCAGUAAUGGAGAAUCUGAGUCUGAACAGCCUCCUCCGACAAUUGGGGUAAGAAAAAUAGAAUUUUUAGUAACAUAUUACGAUCAUUUUUUGUUUUGGCUGUAUGUUGGUAUUUAUGUAAUUCAUGGGCUUGAUAAUGUUAGGUUAAUGACACCGCAUCAGGGUGUUAGUCGUUGACUUUGAAACAUUAUUGGAAGCCCUAGGUUUUUUUGAAUUUGGUGGUUUUUGUUUGUAGUAUAAAAAACAUAAGAAAUUAUUGUUUGUUUCUACACUUAGAAGAUUGAAAAUGACAAAAGAAAACUGGGAAUUCUGUUUUUUGUGUAGGUUUUUACGAGUAUUACAAGUUAUUGUUGUUGGUUAUGGUUGCGAGGCUCAUUCUAAGUGAUGAUUUUGAAAUUUGAGUGGCCAAGUUGUUGUUUAACCUUGUUUUUGUUUCAUUGUGCUUACUGUUUAAUUACCAUAACAUUUGUAAUGGAUGAUUUGCCUAAUGAGGUUGUAUAUGCUUUUUCUGGGGGCAUAAUUUUAAAUGUACAUGUUUA